rnacentral:rRNA from 1 species
AUUAGUGAGGCCUUCUGACUGGCGCCGCUACUCUGGCAACAGAGCGGCGGAUGCCGGGAAGUUGGUCAAACUUGAUCAUUUAGAGGAAGUAAAAGUCGUAACAAGGUUUCCGUAGGUGAACCUGCGGAAGGAUCAUUACCGAUGUGAAAAAUCCAAGGUUAAACAUCAUUAACCAACCAGUGUGAACUGUGAAACAACUCUUUAGGGGUCGGCGCAGGCGUGUGUCGUUGAAUGGCGGAUAGGUUCCUUCCGCCCGCCCCGCCAUUGUGUUUAUGAUAUCACUUUGAACGUUAAAGACUGAUAACGUAUGUGUCAUGCAUUAAAUGUAUGAAAAAGAAGGAAAGAAAAAUGAGAGACAACUUUUGACGGUGGAUCUCUUGGCUCGCGUAUCGAUGAAGAACGCACCCAGCUGCGAUAUGUAGUGUGAAUUGCAGAAUUCAGUGUAUCAUUGUAUCUUUGAACGGAAAUGGCUCUCUUGGGUUCUCCCAGGAGCAUGUCUGUGAGAGUGUCGGAUUUUAUCGAACGCACUCGAGAGUGCUGUAGUGAGGUGUCACGGCGUGWUMGCAMGCACACAUUAAAUCGCUGUGCCCCGUAAAGGACAGCAGCAUUGGACUCGCAUUCUAUAGAGAAACGAGAGUGAGGAGGAAAAAGAUUAUUUUCUCUUUCCCCCACACACACAAGCGCAGAAACAAAGCACACUCAAAGCGGUCACACACAGUCAACAUCAAAUCUUGACCUCAGAUCAGGCAAGGCUACCCGCUGAAUUUAAGCAUAUUAAUAAGCGGAGGAAAAGAAACUAACAAGGAUUCCCUCAGUAACGGCGAGUGAAGCGGGAAUAGCUCAAAUUUGAAAUCUCCGACGCUUGCGUCGGCGAAUUGUAGUUGCGAGAAGCACUUUCUAGGCGGAUCGGUCGUGCCUAAGUUGCUUGGAACAGUACGUCAUAGAGGGUGACAACCCCGUCUGUGGCUCGGCCGGCCGCUCACGAUUG